GACGAACGCUGGCGGCGUGCUUAACACAUGCAAGUCGAACGCUGAACCCGCUUCGGUGGGGGAUGAGUGGCGAACGGGUGAGUAACACGUGGGCAACCUGCCCCCGGCUCUGGGAUAACUCCAAGAAAUUGGGGCUAAUACCGGAUGUGACCGCUGGCCGCAUGGUCUGGUGGUGGAAAGGGUUUCCGGCUGGGGAUGGGCCCGCGGCCUAUCAGCUUGUUGGUGGGGUAGUGGCCUACCAAGGCGACGACGGGUAGCCGGCCUGAGAGGGUGACCGGCCACACUGGGACUGAGACACGGCCCGGACUCCUACGGGAGGCAGCAGUGGGGAAUAUUGCGCAAUGGGCGGAAGCCUGACGCAGCGACGCAGCGUGGGGGAUGACGGCCUUCGGGUUGUAAACCUCUUUCAGCAGGGACGAAGCGCAAGUGACGGUACCUGCAGAAGAAGCACCGGCCAACUACGUG
rnacentral:rRNA from 1 species